AGCUAUCGGGCCCAUACCCCGAAAAUGUUGGUUUAUACCCUUCCCAUACUA
rnacentral:tRNA from 1 species